GAAGAAAGAGGGAGGCGUGCUUAACACAUGCAAGUCGAACGGAAAGACCCUGCUUUUGUGGGGUGCUCGAGUGGCGAACGGGUGAGUAACACGUGAGUAACCUGCCCUUGACUUUGGGAUAACUUCAGGAAACUGGGGCUAAUACCGGAUAGGAGCUCCUGCUGCAUGGUGGGGGUUGGAAAGUUUCGGCGGUUGGGGAUGGACUCGCGGCUUAUCAGCUUGUUGGUGGGGUAGUGGCUUACCAAGGCUUUGACGGGUAGCCGGCCUGAGAGGGUGACCGGCCACAUUGGGACUGAGAUACGGCCCAGACUCCUACGGGAGGCAGCAGUGGGGAAUAUUGCACAAUGGGCGGAAGCCUGAUGCAGCAACGCCGCGUGCGGGAUGACGGCCUUCGGGUUGUAAACCGCUUUCGCCUGUGACGAAGCGUGAGUGACGGUAAUGGGUAAAGAAGCACCGGCUAACUACGUG
rnacentral:rRNA from 1 species